rnacentral:rRNA from 1 species
UACAGAGGGUGCAAGCGUUAAUCGGAAUUACUGGGCGUAAAGCGUGCGCAGACGGUUAUCUAAGUCGAGUGUGAAAGCCCCGGGCUCAACCUGGGAAUUGCAUUCGAAACUGAAUAGCUAGGGUGCGGAAGAGGGAAGUGGAAUUUCCGGUGUAGCGGUGAAAUGCGUAGAUAUCGGAAGGAACAUCAGUGGCGAAAGCGACUUCCUGGUCCAGCACCGACGUUCAGGCACGAAAGCGUGGGGAGCAAACAGG